rnacentral:lncRNA from 1 species
CCAUAAGUACAUUCACUGUGGUGGCAUAAAAAUAUUCCUGUCAUAUAAAAAUGAGAAUAUAAAAAUAUAUUUAUGAUCCUACCAAAGAGAGUAAUAUUUAUUAGAGGAAGCUCAAUAUGAUAAAAGGCAAAAGAGAUUUUAUGCUAACACUUAACCAGUUCCACAAAGCUUUGUUGUCUAUUUGAGCUCCACAGAAUUCAAGGAUCAAAGAAGACUAGCAGACAGAGGACAUCCUAAUAGCUGUCAGGGUGCUGCCGACAUUCAAAUACACCUCUGCCACCUGCUAGCUACAUCAGAAGAAAUUACGUCAAAAUCCAGCUUGGCGGAGAGCACCCCCAUUUAUCCAGCUAAGUGUUUCUACUCGCGUUUCUACUUUACUCAAAUAAUAAAAAUAUGCAUAAUCAUGAAAACACAAAUAAAAAUUUUGUUCUCAUGUCUUUGCUUAGUUUGCUAAAUAAAUAAAUAAAGUGUCUAGGCCAAACUGAACCCUCAUGAUAAGCUCCCACAUGGAAAUGAUGAAUAGUUGCUCUGCCAUGACUAGUUCAAAAAAUUGAAAUCUCACUCAAGUUUAGGCAUAACUGUUGUGAAUUAAGAUUUGCUCUAAACCUGAACUUGUGGGAAGAGUACUUGAUCUGAAGUCUAAGUCGUUAACGGAUAUGAUAUGGAAAGGUUGAGCUGCUAUUUAUCUGUUCCUAUCUUUGAAAAUCUUUAAAAAAUUACAUGAUGAGUUUCUGUAUGAUGAGAGUUUAAAAUCCUACCACAGCCAUAUAUACAUGCUUAUUAGACUAUAAACCACAUAUUUGCUUUUACUCCUUAUGAGCAUUGAGUGUGGUCAAGCUAUGUAGACCCUUAGGAGCUUGUCAUGCGGUUAAAAUCAAGAUUCAUUUGCACGUUCACUCACACAUGCUGCUUCUACUCCGGAAGUAUGCAUCCACAUAUAUCCACUCAUUUCCAUCUCCAGAUUCACCCAAAAUUAUUCUACUCCUAAUCCAGGAGAGAAUAGCCAAAAACAUUUCUCUAUUUCUAUUUUUCCCUGUGGAAUAAAUGCUCGAGUUAUCUUGGUUACUACCACUUGCUAUAUUAUUUCAGGAGAUGAGUGCUCUAAAAAAAAGAAGAUACAAGGAAAUAAAAAGGGGCAAGUGCCCGGAAUCUUGAAGAAAAGAAAAAGUGAGACGAGAGGUAAAAAUGGACAAGUGUCCAACAGUAGAAUUAGGGGUACAAGAUACCCACCUGAAAAAAAGACAAAAAAAGAAGAAGAAAAUAUAGAGCAUCUCAUUCUCCUCAAAAAGCUUCAAAGUGCAAGAAGGGUAUGUAUCCCCUAAAAAGAGCAAAAGUAGAAUUAGACUUUCACCAUUGUUAUCACCAUCAUCACCAUACACCAUUCACUCGCCACACAUGCAUAUCUUGAUUUGACUUAUUGACUUGUUCUUCUGGAUCCAUGGUUUGACUAUGCAAUAAAUGUCUUGUAAGUAUGUAUUAUCUGUCUCCCACCUAUGAGCUCCAGAUAUCAAAACCUUAUUAGAGUAGGGUGAGAGAGAAGGCAAUAUCACUAUGCCUCAUACCAAAAAUACCACAUACUUUGAGAGAAGACAUAUACCAUUACUACCUUGGAAAGGAUCUAGAAAUACCACAAAAGAGAGAUUUGAGAGAGUCAUACAAGGAAUCUCUAAGUUUUGUUUGAAAAUCUGCAAAAACUCCAGAGCUAUAGCUGAUCAAGAAUAAGAAACAUGGCGCUUGACUAGACUGUUCUAUCUUUUAACUGCUCAAGACACAAGUGACGGUUGCAAGCCCCAUGAUGAAAGGUAAAAUGAGUAAGUUUUAAGUCUUAACAGUUUACUCUAACUCAGAGAUGAGAUCUUGUUUGAACGCAUGUGCACCUUUAAGGCAUGAAACCACUGCAGAAACUCUUGAGUACAUCCUUGCUCAGGGACGAGCAAGAGGUAAGCUUGGGGGAGUUUGUUGACGGUCCUUAAGUACCAAAUAUAAUCAUCAAAUAAAUAAAGAAAAGGAUCCAAAUGCUACUAACACCCAGAUUUAGGGUUCUAUCUGACAGAAUUCCACGAGUUUUGGUGUUUGUCUAUUUCUGUAGGGGGUUAUCAGGAAAUACGGACGAAAGGCCCACACGUCGGGUUUACAUAGAGAUAUUAACGUGCCGCGCAAUUUUCUACAAUCUAGAAGACUCUAGAAGCCACG